UACGAAGGUGGCAAGCGUUACUCGGAAUUACUAGGCGUAAAGGGCAGGUAGGUGGCCUGAUAAGUCUGUUGUGAAAGCUCCUGGCUUAACUGGGAGAGGUCAACAGAUACUAUCGGGCUUGAGUAUAGGAGAGGGUACUGGAAUUCCCGGUGUAGCGGUGAAAUGCGCAGAGAUCGGGAGGAACACCAAUGGCGAAAGCAGGUACCUGGACUAUUACUGACACUCAGCUGCGAAAGCUAGGGGAGCAAACAGG
rnacentral:rRNA from 1 species